rnacentral:rRNA from 2 species
UUUAUGGAGAGUUUGAUCCUGGCUCAGAGUGAACGCUGGCGGCGUGCCUAAUACAUGCAAGUCGAACGAUGAAGCUUCUAGCUUGCUAGAAGUGGAUUAGUGGCGCACGGGUGAGUAAGGUAUAGUUAAUCUGCCCUACACAAGAGGACAACAGUUGGAAACGACUGCUAAUACUCUAUACUCCUGCUUAACACAAGUUGAGUAGGGAAAGUUUUUCGGUGUAGGAUGAGACUAUAUAGUAUCAGCUAGUUGGUAAGGUAAUGGCUUACCAAGGCUAUGACGCUUAACUGGUCUGAGAGGAUGAUCAGUCACACUGGAACUGAGACACGGUCCAGACUCCUACGGGAGGCAGCAGUAGGGAAUAUUGCGCAAUGGGGGAAACCCUGACGCAGCAACGCCGCGUGGAGGAUGACACUUUUCGGAGCGUAAACUCCUUUUCUUAGGGAAGAAUUCUGACGGUACCUAAGGAAUAAGCACCGGCUAACUCCGUGCCAGC